rnacentral:lncRNA from 1 species
GGAACAAAGGUGCUCUGAAGAUAUCCCCAUGUUUCCUGCUAAUAAAGAGAGGUGGAUAUCAGCUUACACAUUCAGGGCAACCACGUGAUAUGUGUUCAAAACUCGUUAGUGAUGUUCAGCUCUGUACAUUACAGCAGCUUCUCCAACUUUACUGCAGCUUCAUAUCCUUGAAAUGUUAGGGGAUCUAGGGUGGAGCCCAGAUAGUCUGCUCAUUUAUUUAACAGGGUCCCAGGAAGUGCUGAUGCUGUAGGGCUGUGGAUCAGACUUGGGCAGUAAGGUUGAUAUGAAAUGCCCUGAAAGUCAGGUUUAAUAAUGAUACAAGUGCAAUACCCAUGGAAUCAUUGCAUUUUGAAUCUUAAUCUCUUUCUAAAUGUUUGCUAUUGAUCUGGGUUGUGGAGGAAUUUGCUGGCAAUCGGGGAAUGAUUGGACUGGGGUAGAGUGCACAAGGGAUGGUCUCAGGGUUCGUAAGUCAUAAUUCCAUAGAAGUUCUACCAGUGAGAGUGUCAUUUGCAUCAACACAUAGUCUAUUUAAAAAGUCAGACCUUACAUCAUUCAAUUUAACUAGUUGGUAGGAAGAAAUUGCUGACGGAAGAAAUGAGUUGUUGAGGGAAGCACAAGAUGAGGAAAAGAGUUUAGGCACUGGAGAGAUGAGUAAAGGCAGUUUGGGAGCAUGUAAAAUUUUAGGGAAUAAUUGACCCAUGAGAGACAAUGGACAGUCCAGCAAAGAAUGAGAGUGUGGAUGGUUGCCCUGGUGGGCAUUGGGGAAUCUAGGAGGCUGUGGGGUUAGUUCUGGUACAAAUGAUUGACAUUUCUAAGGACCAGUUCAAAUCACCUUCCUUUGAAGGUAAGCCAACUGCAUCAUCUUUUAAAAUAGCAUAAUUACAAAAACAAAUCAAAACCCAAACAACAACAACGACGACGAUGAUGACGACGACGAUGACGUUCUUUAAAGGAAACAUUCUCCAUCUUCCUUUACAGGUGAAUCCCUCUUGGCCUAGUGAGAAGGAAAAGAUUUCUCAGGGUUUAUACCUGCAUGCAAAUUGGGAAUUCUAGAAGUCUCACACAGUCCAGACUGGUUUCCUUUCCAAAUCUGAGAUGCAACAUCUGUUUUAAAAAGACAAAUAAAAGUUAAUUCCAAGAUCUGUGUUUACAUUGAUUUUAUUUCAGUUCUAUGAGGACAAUUUGAAUGCUUGAAAAGGGGCAGUAUUCCUAGAACUUUAGGAGACAAAAAAUAUAUUUAGAAUAUUUUGACUGUUGGGUGUCUGGGAUUCUCAGCCUCAGAGGGUCUAGUAUAGUUAAUGGGCAUGGAAUUAUGACAAAUAGACCAUAAUCUUCCACUCUAAAUAGGAUUUUUUAAAAUAGUUGUGGGAAUGAGUAACUUGGAAGGGAGAGUGGGGAAAUGCUAGAUGCUAUAUGGUUACUUAUUUUAACUUGUUAUAACUUUUUUUUUUUUUUGCUUCCAACUGAGCUAGUCUUUUUAAUCUUUUGGUAAUCUCUUCCAGGAUUAACUGUUUCCACUGCAGGUGAUGAAAUAUAUAAGGUUCCAUUUCAAAUGUUGGGACUGCUAUGAGCAUGGUCUUUUCCCUUUCAUUGCAACUCAGAAUUAAAACUUUGAUUCUUGUCUUAUAUUCCAGACCCAGUAGUUCCCACUGCAGAAGUUAUCUGAAGAUAGUCUUAUGCUUUCUAGCAGUGGUCUGUGAUCAGCCUUUAUCUUCUCCACGAACACUAUGAUGGAUUUAGUUUAUACAUGUAUUAAACUCAGAGGCAUUUUCUCAAGCCUCUUUUGUGAAGCUGGUUCCCUGCAAGUGAGGGUUCAUGACAAUAUCCAUCCGAGUGACUACUGUGCUUCCGGUACCUUGGCCCUCCGGGCCUUCAGCGGAGGCAUCUUUACCAAUGAGGGGGUCAUCAGUGUUACCCACUGUUCUACCGACUGACAUGUCCUCCACCUCCAGGCACAGCCGGUCCAUCCGUGAUCUCCCAGACCUUAUCUCCUUGUGGCUGAUGAGGUCCAGAUAGAUAAUCAUGAUGGUGGCUGAAGGGAGAUGCGGCCUCCCUAGCCUGGCAGGAGCCCGGAUCUCAGAGCAGAGCUUCAGAGCGAGCACGGUACAACCAAGCAGCUCUCGGGGGAGUAGAGAGUGGGCAAAAAAGGACUUGUUACAUCUUUGUAGUUGCUUUAGGGCAUAACUCCACUGGGUACCAAAGACUAGGUCAUCUAUUGGAAAAUAAUUAGGAAAUUUAGGAUUCUGAUUAUUAUUUGAAUUUCUAACAUUUAAUUACAUCAAACAUAACACAAAACAUUACUUGCUUGGUGAAUAUGGUCUGUGACCUCUAGAAUUGUGUUUUAAUAAUGAUGAUUUAAUAGUAAUAGCUACCUUUUAUUGGAAAUAAACUAUGUGCCUAGUCCUAUUAGGCAUAUUACAGUCUUAAUUAAUUAUGACUUUCCAAAUAGUCUUUGUCUUGUAAAAUGAUUAUAAUUACUAUUUGUUAUAGCUUACAUGUGUCUGGUGCUUUGUCAUUUAUAUAGUACCUUCCAUAUGUUUUCAUCACCCUAUUUAAUUCUCAUGAAGAAAUUUUAAUUUAUGGACACAAAUUUCACCAAGAUUUCAUAGACUGUUUUCACCAGAGUUGAAAAUUCUUUGCUAGUAGGAUGGAGAGAAAAGUGGCAAUAUUAUAGUCUUUUGCUCCUUUCAGUUUCUGAGUGUGGAGAGUGAGGCUGAGGUGACUGCAAAGCCACUGGGCCAAAGGUUGUCGUCUACGAUUACAUAGCAUUGGCUAUGUACUACAGCAUAGGCAAUGAACAAGGUGCAUAGGUUUUCUUUCAGAUCUUUCUUUCUUUCUUUCUUUCUUUCUUUCUUUCUUUCUUUCUUUCUUUCUUUCUUUCAUACCGGGGAUCGAACUCGGGUCCUUGCGCUUGCGAGGCAGGAGAUGACACCACUGAGCUAAAUCCCUGGCGCCUCGGUUUUUAUUUCUAUUUAGCUUGUCGAUUUCAUUUCCCCAUCCAACAUUGGAGAUUUAAAAAAAAAUUCAUCUUUUUGUGUUUGUUCAAGUGGUGCUGGCUUAGAUCUUUUGGUAGUUGAUACUUUCUUUGAUCUGCAUGUUUAGACUUUCCUGAAGUUUUGAAAGCAAAGACCGUUGUAAACUAAAUGAUACAUGCCAGAAUGCUACACAUAGUUAGGCUUGCUAGGUGUCUGUUAUUAAGCAUCUAAUAUGUGUAAUAACUCCUACAAUUAGCAAACUAUUCAUGUGGGGCCAGCUGUUUGUUAAAAUUUGUUAAAGUUUAUUUUUGUAAAAUGUUGGAGCAGAUGAUUUUCAAAUAGGAUUUCACUUUUAUUUUCCUAUUGCUUUAAGUCUAAGGUAUAGUUUAUUUUAACUGUGACCCCCAUCUUCCUGUGAUCCUAGCAUAGGAUAUCCUGAAGCCAUUGGUGGGUAUUUCCUUCACUAAAUUGCUUUGCUCCAUUAGUUAAGAGGGAACUUUACCAUUCUCAUUAGAAUAUUAAAUGAGUAGUCACUUUAUACCUUCUUCUUGACAAGAUAUUUAAAUAUGUGAAUGAAUUAAAGAGAGAUAAAGGUGGGGAGAGGGAGAGUGGGGGAGAGAGAAAAUUGCAAUGUGAUUUUGAUUUGCAUUCUCAUAAUGGCUAAAGAUGUUGAACACUUUUUCAUAUCUUUACUGGCCAUUUGUGCUUCUUCUUUUGAGAAUUUAUUUGCCCAUUUUUUGUUUGGGUUAUUUCUUUUUGGUGUUUUUUUUUAGUUCUUUCUAUGUUCUAAAUAUUAAUCCUGUAUCAGAAGAGUAUUCAGCAAAGAUUUUCUUCCAUUCUUCAGGUUGUCUCUUCACUCUGUUGUUUCCUUUGUUUGAAGAAGCUUUUUAAUAUGGUGUAGUCCCACUUGUUGGUUCUUGACAUUAUUCCUAUGCUAUUAAGGUCCUCUAUUCAGGGAAUCUUUGCCUGUGCCUAUGGCUUCAAGUGUUUCACCUGUUUUCUUGUAUGCAUGCUAUAUUAGAGGAAAAGUUUUCAGUUUUCGCUAUUAAAUAUGAUGUUACCUAUGGGAUUUUCAUAUGUAACCUUUAUUAUAUUGAAGUAUUUUCCUAUAUUUUUAGCUUGUUGGUAGUUUUUAUGAUGAAAGGACAUUGAAUUACAUCAAACACUUUUUUGCAUCUAUUUUGAUACAUGUGAUUUUUAUACAUCAUUUUGCUAAUAUGGUGUAUCAUAUUUAUUGAUUGUUAUAUGGAGUAUGGAGACAUUCUUACAUCCCAAAGAUAAGUCUCACUGGUCAUCACGUAUGAUCCUUUUAAUGUGUUGUUGAAUUUGGUUUGUGAGUUUUUUCUUGAGGAAUUUUGCAUCUAUGUUCAUCAGGGAUAUUGGCCUGUAGUUUUCCUUUCUUGUGAUGUUUUUGUCCUGGUUUUGAUAUCACAAUGAUGCUUUCUUUGUAAAGUGAAUUUUGAAAAUGUUCUUUCUCUUCAAUUUUUGGGAAGAGUUUGCUUGAGAAGGAUUUUUGUUAACUCAUAAUAUUUUGAAUUUGCCAGUGACAACAUCUGAUCUUGGACUUUUUGGGAAGGAUUUUGUUUGUUUGUUUUUGUUUUAAUUACUGAUUCAAUCUCUUUACUAGUUAUGGGUCUGUUCAGACUUUUUGUUUCUUCAUGAUUUAUCUCGAUAGGUUGUCUGCUUCUAGGAAUGUAUCUAUUUGUUCUGGGUUAUUCAGUUUUUUGCUGGAUAAUUGUUCAUGGUAGUCUUUAAUGAUCAUUUUAUUUCUGUGGCAUCGAUUAUAACAUUUCUUCUUUCUUUUCCAAUAUUAUUUAUUCAGAUC